rnacentral:rRNA from 1 species
CCUACGGGAGGCAGCAGUGAGGAAUAUUGGUCAAUGGACGAGAGUCUGAACCAGCCAAGUAGCGUGAAGGAUGACUGCCCUAUGGGUUGUAAACUUCUUUCAUAUGGGAAUAAAAUGUUCCACGUGUGGGAUUUUGUAUGUACCAUAUGAAUAAGGAUCGGCUACCUCCGUGCCAGCAGCCGCGGUAAUACGGAGGAUCCGCGCGUUAUCCGGAUGUAUUGGGUUUAAAGGGAGCGUAGGUGGAUUGUUAAGUCAGUUGUGAAAGUUUGCGGCUCAACCGUAAAAUUGCAGUUGAAACUGGCAGUCUUGAGUACAGUAGAGGUGGGCGGAAUUCGUGGUGUAGCGGUGAAAUGCUUAGAUAUCACGAAGAACUCCGAUUGCGAAGGCAGCUCACUGGACUGCAACUGACACUGAGGCUCGAAAGUGUGGGUAUCAAACAGGAUUAGAUACCCCAGUAGUC